UCGAGGAUCUUCGGCAAUGGGCGCAAGCCUGACCGAGCGACGCCGCGUGUGCGAUGAAGGCCUUCGGGUUGUAAAGCACUGUCGAGGGGGAGGAAGCCGAAAGGUUGACCUAUCCCUGGAGGAAGCACGGGCUAAGUUCGUGCCAGCAGCCGCGGUAAGACGAACCGUGCGAACGUUGUUCGGAAUCACUGGGCUUAAAGGGCGCGUAGGCGGCUGAUCAAGUCAGGGGUGAAAUCUUUCGGCUCAACCGGAAAAGUGCCUUUGAUACUGGUCAGCUUGAGGGAGGUAGGGGCAUGUGGAACUUCCGGUGGAGCGGUGAAAUGCGUUGAUAUCGGAAGGAACGCCGGUGGCGAAAGCGACGUGCUGGCCCUCUUCUGACGCUGAGGCGCGAAAGCUAGGGGAGCGAACGG
rnacentral:rRNA from 1 species